AUUGCAAAUACUGAUCAGUGAUAUGCAUAGGCAUAGCACUGAUCAGUGUUAUCUGCGAUCUGCUUCUGUGAUCUGAUUGUAGAAGAUGUCCGCGAGCAGGUGACUCAUCAGACCCCAGCAAUUGCACUGCGGAUGGUCCGAUGAGUCUGCCUUUGUACUAAUCUGGGAGAAUAAAGUUAUUACAUACAAACGCGUUGCAGAAUUAUUUUUUUCUUUUUUCAAUUCCACUCCACAAUUUAUUUAUUUUUUUACUACAUUUUGUGAUAAAAUGAAGUGCAAAUAGCCAACAAAAUAGUUAAAUUGCUAUAUAUCAGAAACAGAGGGGCGUACCAAUAAAGUUAAAACAGUUUUGGAGUCAAGGCACUACAGGCUACACAAUGUAUGGAAACAAAAUAUUUUUUUAUAUACUGACCUACCAGCAAAAAACAAGCCACCUGCCUAGUCAGACAAUACAGUAUGUCAGGUGUGUGCUUAGUGCUUUCUAUCAAGAUUCCAUUAUCCUUUCUUUUGAAGCUACAAUAAAUAAUACAUUAAGUAAUAAAGUAGCAUACAGUAUAGAUCCACCAUAACCAAAUAAAACAAACUUUCAUAAGUCAUUUGUUUUUCUUUAAUUGCUAUCAAUGAAAACAGCAGAGGAUUGACAGUAGAAACCCAUGGAGAUCAACAGUUUAUUCAUUUGUCAUAAAAUAAGACAUCAUUACAAAUGAAAGCUUGCAGUGUGUUUCUUUCUAACACUUAUAUACACACAUUCAUUCAAUCAAUCACAGAAGCACAGCUAUAUACUCCCGGGUAUUAUUUGUUCAUUGGACACACAACAUGUGUUGCAUUACAUUAACAUUUUCAGAAAAUUAAAAAUAUAUAAUGCACAUAUAUAUUUACAUCAUUUACAUCCAUACACCACAGUUUGUAUUUUUUUUUUUUUUUUUUACUAUAACAUUUUUAAAAUAAAUUUUCAGCCCCUACAGUGCUCUGUCUUUUCUAUCAUGGUCCCAGUGAUUAUAAUGUAAAUGAAAGGGCUUAAAGUGUACCUGUCAUUAUAAAAAACUUUUGAUGUCAUAGAUCAGUAGAAUGAGCAAGGAGAGGUGUGUGCUUCGUGCCAUCACUCCUGGCUCUGUGUAAGGUGACCAGGACGGACUCAUAAGUCUAUAGGGCCCUCCUGCUCACAUACAAAGAGCAGCUAGAUUCACCUACUGAUUGGACUGGGCCUGGACAUACCUUUUGAUAUGUCCCUAGGAUAUGCCAAAGGUUUUUAUAAUGACAAGUGUAUUUUAACAAGCUCCAAGGGUAUCUCAUAUAUAAUGUUAUAUACUUGAGAAAUGCCAUUGACUAUAAUAUACACAAUUAGGAUUGGUUAAUAACAGAACUUUACAAAUACAAUCUUUUUGUGGAAAAGAAAUGAUGUAGCAGCUUUAGAAGGAACCUUUCACAUUAAAAAUACAGACAAAUCCUCAGGUGCAUGUUAUAAGCAGGAGGAGUAGAGCAGAAUGAUAUAUACAGAGUUGCUAAAAAAAUUAUAAUAAAAAAAAAGUAAUAACUUACAAUGGAACUUGCCAUGCAUUCAUUUGAGCAUGCUUACAGAAACAGUUUUCAGUCAAUAAGUAAAACCAUCCAGUUUCAGUAAAUAAAUCACAAGUUAGGGUGGGUGCACACAGUAUUUUGAACAGACACAGAGCAAAACUAUUAUGGAAAAAAUAGCAUCUUUGUCCUGUGUUUUAGGCCCCCUCCUGACCAAAAUAAGGCUCAAAUUACUGUGUGCGCACAUUGUCUUUUACAGAUUUUUUCUUUUCCCAUAAACGUAUAUAUUAACCUGCUCAUCCACAUCUAUUACAUGCACUUUCAGACAGCAGUUUUAAAAAUCAGAAAAAGAACAAUAAUAAAAAAAAAUUUUUUUUUCCAUCUUGCUUGUCCAUUUAAUAAUAAAAGCUGGGUCCAGAUUGUAGUUAUUUCCAUGGAGUUGACAUUUAAAGAGUACCUGUCACCAAACUAAACUUUUAAUAUACGGUUCCUAUGUGGAAAUAUAAGACACUUUGCUAUUAUAAUUCUCAACCUUUAUAUGUUCUUGAUGUGAUUCUGUUCUGUUGUGUUCUGUUCCCUGCCAUAAGUCAAACAGUUAGUUUGGUCUCCUCCUGGUCUGGCAGGAGACCAAACUCAGGAAGUUCAUGUGGGGCAUUAGUGCUUCAGUGACGUCGCGCCUGCUGGGGAAUUCCCACUUUCUCCUGCCGGGAGCAAGAGGAAAGGUAUGAUACAGAGCUUUUUAACCCCUUAAAGACACAGCCAAUUUUAUUUUUGUGUUUUCGUUUUUUCAUCCUCGUCUUCUAAAAUCCAUAACUCUUUUAUAUUUCCAUUCACAGACACAUAUAAGGGCUUGUUUUUUGUGUGACCAGUUGUACUUUGUAAUGACAUCACUCAUUUGACCCUAAAAUGUAUGGUAAACCCAAAAAAUUAUUUUUUGUGUAAGGAAAUUUAAUCGAAAAUCAUAAUUUAGCAAAUUUGUGGGGGUUUCGUUUUCACGCUGUACACUUUACAGUAAAAAUGACAUGUUUUCUUUAUUCUCUGGGUCAAUACGAUUAAAAUGAACCCCCAUGGUUACUUACACUUCUAUUAUUGUACCGCUUUUAAUAAAUCUCAAACUUUUUUUUUUUUUU